CAGCUACUCAGGAGGCUGAGACGGGCGGAUCGCGAGGUCAGGAGAUCGAGACCAUCCUGGCUAACACAGUGAAACCGCGUCUCUACUAAAAAUACAAAAAAAAAAAAAAAAAAUAGCCAGACGUGGUGGCAGGAGACUGUAGUCCCAGCUACUCAGGAGGCUGAGGCAGGAGAAUGGCAUGAACCCGAGAGGCAGAGCUUGCAGUGAGCCAAGAUCGCGCCACUGCACUCCAGCCUGGGCGACGGAGUGAGACUCCGCCUCAAAAAAAAAAAAAAAAAAAGAAUAGAUGUCCAAAAUAUAUUGUCGAGAGAAAAAAAGCAAGGUACAAAACAAUAUAUCGAGUAAAGCUACCUUUGAAUAAGAAGAAAAACUAAUGGUAACACGCUGGGGACUGGAGGGACUAGAUAAAUGGAAACAAAAAUGGAUUAAUACCUGUCAGUGUUUUUGAAAUGGAAUUUUAGUUAGUUUGUGGGGACUUUAUUUUUAUUUUUUAAAGAAACAGGGUAUCACUCUAUCACCCAGGCUGGAGUGCGAUGGUGCAAUCAUGG
rnacentral:lncRNA from 1 species